AGAGAUUCGGGCUCAGCUAGUCGAGCAACAGAAAUGUUUGGAACAACAGACAGAAAUGAGAGUUCAACUGCUUAAUGACCUGCAGGACUUCUUCCGCAAAAAAGCAGAGAUUGAGACAGAGUAUUCCCGAAAUCUUGAGAAACUCGCAGAGAGGUUCAUGGCCAAAACAAGGAGCACAAAAGAUCAUCAACAAUACAAGUGAGA